rnacentral:rRNA from 1 species
UAGGGAAUCUUCCACAAUGGGCGCAAGCCUGAUGGAGCAACACCGCGUGAGUGAAGAAGGGUUUCGGCUCGUAAAGCUCUGUUGUUAGAGAAGAACGUGCGUGAGAGCAACUGUUCACGCAGUGACGGUAUCUAACCAGAAAGUCACGGCUAACUACGUGCCAA